rnacentral:pre_miRNA from 1 species
GGAAACUUGGAAACUACCGUUGGAUCGAGAAAUAGACGUCCAAAAUUCGUCCACGUCACCAUCAGUUAAAAUUUAACUCGCAGAUUCACUCAUGAGUUAAAAUUUUACCGGGAGUUCAAUUUUAACUCAUGGUGAUGUGGACGAAUCUCGGACGUCCAUUUCUCGAUCCAACGGUAGUUUCCAAGUUUCC